AACGAACGCUGGCGGCGCGCCUAAUACAUGCAAGUCGAGCGAGAAGGUGUAGCAAUACACUUGUAAAGCGGCGAACGGGUGAGGAAUACAUGGGUAACCUACCCUCGAGUGGGGAAUAACUAGCCGAAAGGUUAGCUAAUACCGCGUACGCUUCCGGGACUGCGGUUCCGGAAGGAAAGCGAGACCGUGGGUCUCGCGCUCUUGGAUGGGCUCAUGUCCUAUCAGCUUGUUGGUGAGGUAACGGCUCACCAAGGCUUCGACGGGUAGCUGGUCUGAGAGGACGAUCAGCCACACUGGCACUGCGACACGGGCCAGACUCCUACGGGAGGCAGCAGUGGGGAAUAUUGCGCAAUGGGCGAAAGCCUGACGCAGCAACGCCGCGUGGGGGAUGAAGGCCUUAGGGUUGUAAACCCCUUUCAGCAGGAACGAAUCUGACGGUACCUGCAGAAGAAGGCCCGGCCAACUACGUGCCAGCAGCCGCGGUAACACGUAGGGGCCAAGCGUUGUCCGGAUUUAUUGGGCGUAAAGAGCUCGUAGGCGGUUCAGUUAGUCGGGUGUGAAAACUCUGGGCUCAACUCAGAGACGCCACCCGAUACUGCUGUGACUAGAGUCCGGUAGGGGAGCAGGGAAUUCCAGGU
rnacentral:rRNA from 1 species